ACAGUCUCUGGUGACUCCAUGACCAGUAAAUAUUGGAGCUGGAUCCGCCAGCCCUCAGGGCAAAGCCUUGAGUGGAUGGGAUACAUCUAUUACAGUGGAAGCGCAUAUUAUAACCCAUCCCUCAAGAGCCGCACCUCCAUCACCAUAGACACAUCCAAGAACCAGUUCUUCCUGCAGCUGAGCUCUGUGACCGCCGAGGACACAGGCGUGUAUUACUGUGCGAGAGACACAGUGAGGGAAAGUCACUGUGAUCCCAGACACAAACCUCCCUACAGGAUAAAGAAAGGGUCUGGGCUGAAGGGGGCGCUCAAGGCCCACCCAGCUCCUGUGCCCCAUGGAGCAGGUGCAGAGUGA